ACAACAGUCGUUUCAGGGGGUCUCUUAGAGAGAGAGAGCUUUGUGAUAGAGUGCUUCUUAUUGAGACAUAGAGAUUGGUGUACGAGGGUUGAGGGUGUGAUCUCUUCUUGUAUAUUUUUUUUUCUCAUAGUGAAGCUUGCAUGCCUCGUGGAGAUGAGCCUUUGGUUGAUCCUUGUAUUUAGUUGUGUUUCUUGUUUUCUCUUUUUUUUUGCUGCAAUGCGUGGUACCAGAUCCUUCAACAUUAUACACCCC
rnacentral:lncRNA from 1 species